AUCAGGAUUUCUCGUGAGAUCGAAACAGUACAACAGCAGACCUUGUAAAAGCAUAGAUUUGUUUCAGUCCUUGGGGCAAGACUGGAACAAACAAAAUGAUUACGCUCUGAUGGGUGUCUUAAAAGGGCACGGCUGAAGAAAUUAGGAUGCAAGGAAGAAAAUGAGGGUAUGAGGCUAAAGGCUCGAAAGAUGAAAAGAGAAUUUGGAACUAAAUGGCCACAAGCCAUUACAGCACUUACCAAAACACCUGUUUGCUGAUUGACCAAAAUUCACCAGAUCCACAAGGUGUCCUGAAAGGUGGCCUAUAAGGACAAGAGCUGUGGAGGUCAAAACGGACAGGAAGUGGCUGUUUGUUUGUCUGGACACUUGUUUGUGAGUCUGGCCAUUAUCCUCCUCAUUAAUUCUGAUGGUAAAUAGCCUGGCUCAAGAUUGGGAAGGUUAUAUUGACCUCACACCUCUCCAUAACAGUAUGUUUGAAUUAUUUUAGCCCUCACAGUGGCCGGGUUUGUCCUUUUUUUUUUUUUAGGCCAGCUAUUGUGUUUACGGCCUUUACAACAAGGGAUCUGCCACACUAGUGGCUUUUAUCCACCACGAUGUCAUCUUAUUUUAAUAGAUUUGU